GAUGAACGCUGGCGGCGUGCCUAAUACAUGCAAGUCGAGCGAACGGACGAGAAGCUUGCUUCUCUGAUGUUAGCGGCGGACGGGUGAGUAACACGUGGAUAACCUACCUAUAAGACUGGUAUAACUUCGGGAAACCGGAGCUAAUACCGGAUAAUAUUUUGAACCGCAUGGUUCAAAAGUGAAAGACGGUCUUGCUGUCACUUAUAGAUGGAUCCGCGCUGCAUUAGCUAGUUGGUAAGGUAACGGCUUACCAAGGCAACGAUGCAUAGCCGACCUGAGAGGGUGAUCGGCCACACUGGAACUGAGACACGGUCCGGACUCCUACGGGAGGCAGCAGUAGGGAAUCUUCCGCAAUGGCGAAAGCCUGACGGAGCAACGCCGCGUGAGUGAUGAAGGUCUUCGGAUCGUAAAACUCUGUUAUUAGGGAAGAACAUAUGUGUAAGUAACUGUGCACAUCUUGACGGUACCUAAUCAGAAAGCCACGGCUAACUACGUG
rnacentral:rRNA from 1 species